AUUUUUAUUUUUUCUCUAUGGAUUUUGUACGGUUUUAACACCAUACUACACAGAAGAGGUUCUAUUUUCCUUGCGCGAGCUGGAAUCACCCAAUGAAGAUGGUGUUUCAAUACUCUUCUACUUGCAGAAGAUCUUUCCAGAUGAAUGGAACAACUUUCUUCAGCGAGUGAAUUGUUUGAGUGAGGAGGAACUUAAAGGGAAUGAAUCUGAUGAGUUAAAAGAAGAACUUCGUCAGUGGGCAUCAUACCGCGACCAAACUUUGACCCGAACUGUAAGAGGAAUGAUGCACUAUAGAAAAGCUUUGUAGCUCCAGGCUUUUCUUGAUAUGGCCAAAGAUGAAGAUUUGAUGGAAUGCUACAAAGCCAUAGAAAAUUCAGACGAUAACUCAAGGGGUGAAAGGUCAUUGUGGUCACAAUGUCAAGCAGUAGCUGAUAUGAAAUUCUCAUAUGUGGUGUCAUGCCAGCAAUAUGCAUGGGAUUGACAAGCGAUCUGGGGCUGCUCGUGCCCAAGACAUACUGAGGCUUAUGACAAGGUUAUUGUCCAAGAUUAAUAGUACAUGCCUUUAUGUUUGCUACCUACUAAUUAGUUUGUACCUUAUUACUUGGCAAAUAUCCUUCACUUCGAGUUGCCUAUAUUGAUGAGGUAGAGGAACCUAGCAAAGAGAGGCCGAAAAAAAUCAACAAGGUUUAUUACUCUUGCUUGGUGAAAGCUGUGCCAAAAUCCAGUAGUCCUUCAGAGACAGAGCCUACAGAGUAUUUGGACCAAGUCAUAUAUAAAAUAAAGCUUCCUGGGCCAGCUAUAUUGGGUGAGGGUAAACCUGAGAAUCAGAACCAUGCUAUUAUUUUCACACGUGGAGAAGGCUUGCGAACAAUUGAUAUGAAUCAGAAUGGGGAGAAUGGUGAUUUUCAUGAAGAACAAGAUAGAGAUGAAUAUGAAGAUGGAGAUGGAGAUGGAGAAGGAGAAGGUGAAGAAGAAGAAUAUUGAUUGCUUUUGGAAUUGAUUUUAUUUUCUUAUUUUGAAAGGUUGUUUGAAACUUAGGAUGACAUCUUCAGAUUUUAUUUUGUUGUUGUUUAUGUUGAACAGGAUUAGGCAUUGCCUUUUUUUUGUAGUAGUUUUAUUUUUUGCUCUUUGUGUUCUAAAUACAAUAUUCUUGUUAAUUAAGAUUUGGUCUUUGUUUCAUGUGAUUCAUUUGCCAAGGGCUUCUUUUGAAUGAAUCAACUUAUGAAAA